CUUGAGGGAGCCGAGCCGCAGCGGCCGCUCCGCCGGGCGGUCCUGGCCGUACGUGGCGAGCAGGGCCUGCGCCUC
rnacentral:antisense_RNA from 1 species